AAAAUUUUAAGUUAUAAAAACUUUAAACCUUCAAAGUUUAAUUAAUAUAUUUAAAAUAUAUAAAUUUUA
rnacentral:tRNA from 1 species